UACAGAGGGUGCAAGCGUUAAUCGGAAUCACUGGGCUUAAAGCGUUCGUAGGCGGGCUUGCAGGCGCGUUGUGAAAGCCCCCGGCUCAACCGGGGAACUGCUUCGCGAACCGCAAGUCUUGAGUCAAGUAGGGGCGGUCGGAACGAUAGGUGGAGCGGUGAAAUGCGUAGAUAUCUAUCGGAACGCCAAAGGCGAAGACAGGCCGCUGGGCUUGUACUGACGCUGAGGAACGAAAGCGUGGGGAGCAAACGGG
rnacentral:rRNA from 1 species